AUUGAACGCUGGCGGCAGGCCUAACACAUGCAAGUCGAGCGGGGUUUUCGGACCUAGCGGCGGACGGGUGAGUAAUGCGUAGGAAGCUGCCCGAUAGAGGGGGAUACCAGUUGGAAACGACUGUUAAUACCGCAUAAUGUCUACGGACCAAAGUGUGGGACCUUCGGGCCACAUGCUAUCGGAUGCGCCUACGUGGGAUUAGCUAGUUGGUGAGGUAAUGGCUCACCAAGGCGACGAUCUCUAGCUGGGUUGAGAGGAUGAUCAGCCACACUGGACCCGAUACACGGUCCAGACUCCUAGGGGAGGAAGCAGUGGGGAAUAUUGGAGAAUGGGCGCAAGCUAGAUCCGGCCAUGGCGCGUGUGUGAAGAAGUUUUUCGGGUUGUAAAGCACUUUCAGCAAAGAGGAAGGGGUGUGUGUUAAUAGUACACACCUUUGACGUUACUCGCAGAACAAGCACCGGCUAACUCUGUGCCAGCAGCCGCCGUAAAAC
rnacentral:rRNA from 1 species